rnacentral:tmRNA from 1 species
GGGGGUGUACAGGUUUCGACGGGGGUGUGGAACAAAGAUAAGCGAGUCGCAGUUUGCUCAGUCUGCGUUAAAAAGGGCACGUUAAAUAUAAACGCUAAAAAUACAAACUCUUACGCAUUAGCUGCUUAAGCUAUAGCCGAUAAUAAUCGGCCGCGUCGUCACCUUGGGUUUCCCUGUAGGCUCAGGACCUGGCGUCAUUUAUACAGGACAACUUCAAGGGAGUGCCCGGUACCUUGAAGGAACAACGGGAUGGGAGGGUCUUUAGCCUGCCGAAUCGGCGAUUGAACCUCUGAGAAAACAAAGGAUCGGCUGCACUCGGAGAAAUUCUUUCGGAAAUGCUUUCGGACGUGGGUUCGAUUCCCACCACCUUCACCA